rnacentral:rRNA from 1 species
AGACUGCAGGCUGCAACUCGCCUGCACGAAGUCGGAAUUGCUAGUAAUCGCGGAUCAGAAUGCCGCGGUGAAUACGUUCCCGGGCCUUGUACACACCGCCCGUCACACCAUGGGAGUCGGUAACACCCGAAGUCGGUGGUCUAACCGCAAGGAGGACGCCGCCGAAGGUGGGAUUGAUGACUGGGGUGAAGUCGUAACAAGGUAGC